AUUCCUAGUGAUUAGAGUUUGAUCAUGGCUCAGAACGUACGCUGGCGGCACGCCUAAUACAUGCAAGUCGAACGAAGUAGCAAUACUUAGUGGCAGACGGGUGAGUAACAUGUGGGUAUCUUCCCUUUGGUGAGGAAUAACACGAGGAAACUUGUGCUAAUACCUCAUAAGUCUUUACGGAGAAAGCUUUAUGCGCCAAUGGAUGAGCCCGCACUUGAUUAGUUUGUUGGUGAGGUAAUGGCUCACCAAGACUUUGAUCAAUAGCUGAUUUGAGAGGAUGAUCAGCCACAUUGGGACUGAGACACGGCCCAAACUCCUACGGGAGGCAGCAGUAGGGAAUCUUGCACAAUGGGGGAAACCCUGAUGCAGCGAUGCCGCGUGAGUGAAGAAGGCCUUUGGGUUGUAAAGCUCCUUCGUCGGGGAAGAAAAUGACUGUACCCGAAUAAGAAGGUCCGGCUAACUUCGUGCCAGCAGCCGCGGUAAUACGAAGGGACCUAGCGUAGUUCGGAAUUACUGGGCUUAAAGAGUUCGUAGGUUGUUAAAAAAGUUGGUGGUGAAAUCCCAGAGCUUAACUCUGGAACUGCCAUCAAAACUUUUUAGCUAGAGUUUGAUAGAGGAAAGCAGAAUUUCUAGUGUAGAGGUGAAAUUCGUAGAUAUUAGAAAGAAUACCAAUUGCGAAGGCAGCUUUCUGGAUCAUUACUGACACUGAGGAACGAAAGCAUGGGUAGCGAAGAGGAUUAGAUACCCUCGUAGUCCAUGCCGUAAACGAUGUGUGUUAGACGUUGGAAAUUUAUUUUCAGUGUCGCAGCGAAAGCAAUAAACACACCGCCUGGGGAGUACGACCGCAAGGUUAAAACUCAAAUGAAUUGACGGGGACCCGCACAAGUAGUGGAGCAUGUGGUUUAAUUCGAAGAUACGCGCAGAACCUUACCAACACUUGACAUGUUCGUCGCGACUUUAAGAGAUUAAAGUUUUCGGUUCGGCCGGACGAAACACAGGUGCUGCAUGGCUGUCGUCAGCUCGUGUCGUGAGAUGUUGGGUUAAGUCCCGCAACGAGCGCAACCCUCACUUUUAGUUGCCAUCAUUUAGUUGGGCACUCUGAAAGAACUGCCAGUGAUAAGCUGGAGGAAGGUGGGGAUGACGUCAAGUCCUCAUGGCCCUUACGUGUUGGGCUACACACGUGCUACAAUGGCAUUUACAACAGGAAGCAAAACGGCGACGUUAAGCAAAUCCUAAAAAAAUGCCUCAGUUCGGAUUGUACUCUGCAACUCGAGUACAUGAAGCUGGAAUUACUAGUAAUCGCGGAUCAGCGCGCCGCGGUGAAUACGUUCCCGGGUCUGUACACACCGCCCGU
rnacentral:rRNA from 1 species